rnacentral:tRNA from 1 species
GCGGCGGUAAUUCAGUGGUAGAAUGCUUCCUUGCCAAGGAAGUUGUCGGGGGUUCGAGUCCCCUCCGCCGCU